UACCGGCAGCCCGAGUGAUGGCCGAUGUUAUUGGGCCUAAAGCGUCCGUAGCCGGCCGCGCAAGUCCGUUGGGAAAUCGACGCGCUCAACGCGUCGGCGUCCAGCGGAAACUGCACGGCUUGGGGCCGAGAGACUUGACGGGUACGUCCGGGGUAGGAGUGAAAUCCCGUAAUCCUGGACGGACCACCGAUGGCGAAAGCACGUCGAGAGAGCGGACCCGACGGUGAGGGACGAAAGCUAGGGUCUCGAACCGG
rnacentral:rRNA from 1 species